rnacentral:rRNA from 1 species
CGAGAGUUUGAUCCUGGCUCAGAUUGAACGCUGGCGGCAGGCCUAACACAUGCAAGUCGAGCGGAUGACGGGAGCUUGCUCCUUGAUUCAGCGGCGGACGGGUGAGUAAUGCCUAGGAAUCUGCCUGGUAGUGGGGGACAACGUUUCGAAAGGAACGCUAAUACCGCAUACGUCCUACGGGAGAAAGCAGGGGACCUUCGGGCCUUGCGCUAUCAGAUGAGCCUAGGUCGGAUUAGCUAGUUGGUGGGGUAAUGGCUCACCAAGGCGACGAUCCGUAACUGGUCUGAGAGGAUGAUCAGUCACACUGGAACUGAGACACGGUCCAGACUCCUACGGGAGGCAGCAGUGGGGAAUAUUGGACAAUGGGCGAAAGCCUGAUCCAGCCAUGCCGCGUGUGUGAAGAAGGUCUUCGGAU